rnacentral:rRNA from 1 species
GAUGAACGCUGGCGGCGUGCCUAAUACAUGCAAGUCGAGCGAACAGACGAGGAUCUUGCUCCUCUGACGUUAGCGGCGGACGGGUGAGUAACACGUGUAUACCCUACCUAUAAGACUGGGAUAACUUCGGGAAACCGGAGCUAAUACCGGAUAAGAUAUUGAACCGCAUGGUUCAAUAGUGAAAGACGGUUUUGCUGUCACUUAUAGAUGGAUCCCGGCCGCAUUAGCUAGUUGGUAAGGUAACGGCUUACCAAGGCAACGAUGCGUAGCCGACCUGAGAGGGUGAUCGGCCACACUGGAACUGAGACACGGUCCAGACUCCUACGGGAGGCAGCAGUAGGGAAUCUUCCGCAAUGGGCGAAAGCUUGACGGAGCAACGCCGCGUGAGUGAUGAAGGUCUUCGGAUCGUAAAACUCUGUUAUUAGGGAAGAACCAAUGUGUACGUAACUAUGCACGUCUUGACGGUACCUAAUCAGAAAGCCACGGCUAACUACGUG